GCCUUUUGGAAAGGAAAUAUUAUACUGCCUUGCAAUUGAGAUGCUUGUGUUAUAACUUCUUCAGGACCGCACCUCUGUUCACGAACAAAUCGGAAAUUGAUCUGAAUAUUCAAGGAAUACAAGAAAAGUAAAUUAAUUUUAAUGUUUCCAUUGGUGAAUGGAUUGUGCAAAAAGCAAGAGUUACUCAAAGAUCUUGGUUAUAUUAAGAAAAGACAUUCGUUUUACUCAAAGGAUCUUGUUUCUCCACGCAAUUAAUCUAUCGAUUUCGUGUCAUGACUUGAAACUGGUGAAUUUAAUUAUCUUAUAAACUCUUAAAGUUUUUUAUAUUGAUUAUCAACUGAAAAUCAAUAUCAAUCUCCUGGUACAAUUAAAAAAUGCAAUGAAUCUACUCUAUUGAGUGAUCGCUUUGGUUUGCGUGAUUCUUUGCCAAAACAAAAACUAGUUACGUGGAACCAAAAUUUCGGCUCAAUUUGAUGGUGAAAUUGAAAAAAGAAAGCCAGUUCUAGAAGAAACCUGCUUCCAUUGUUGAUGAUGAUUGUCUUGGUGUCGUGAGAGAUUUGAAUCGAUGUUUAAGACGAUUGAAAUGUGAGAUGGUAAAAGCAACGAAAAAAGCUGAUCUAUUUUCAUUUGAACCAUUUCCAGCCAACAAUUGUCUUUAAAACUAAUUGAAAUUCUGCAAAUGUCUCCCAGUUGUUUUCAUCUCUGUUGUUUUGAACAACAAAAAAAGUUAACCAGAAUAAAGGAUCAAGCCUUUUCAACUGUUGAUGAUAAUGACGUUGAUGACAAAAAAGUGAAAGUUAUCAAAUGUAACUUUUACUUUUCAUCAUAAAGUCACAGAUGAUUCUGCAUUACAGAUGGAAUUUGCAGUUUUCGUAUUUCUCUUGAAAAACCAUUCCCAGAAAGAAUUACUUUGCAAAAGAAACUUGGACAAGUUAUCAUUAUUCUGUACAAUGAAUCACCGACUCUCUGGAUAGUAGGAAAGCAAACAAGAUUGCUCAACAUCAAGUUAUCACAAUUACAGUUGAAACUGGAAUCUACUGAGAAGAGAAAAGUAGUUCAAAGCUGAAACUGAAAUGAAAACAAAAUACAAUUGUUGAAUUAUGAAAAACUGGCAUUAAUUAACUAAUUGGCUAGAUGAUGCACUAAAUGACAUCAAAUUGGACAGCAAUUGGAUUACAAUAUUACUGAAAGGUAAUCUAAAAGGCCUAAAAGGAGGAGGGAUGCAAGUGAAAUUGAAAUUAUUGUUUCUUUCAAAUGAAAAUCAAUUAUUUUGACAAUUGUUUUGACAGGUCAUUUAUUUCCUCUGGUUUACCAUGUUUGCCAUCGUGAUUGCGUGAUUUCAAAGUGAUAACUGAACACAGUCGAAAUGGAAAUAAAGUGAUGAAACAAAUAAUGGCAACCUCAGAAUGAAGCUCUUCAGGAAACGUCAGGAAUCAAAAGGUAGACAGAGAUGGAAAGCAAAGCAAUUGUAAAAAAAUGGUGAAAAUAAUGGACGAUAUUUUUCCUCUAUCCUUGCUUCAUGCUUCGGUGUCAAAUGAAAUCCAUGGUCAUAAUUUUGUUCUGAUUUCACCAUAAGCCAUUUUCAAUGGAUAUGAUGUACAAAAGACAAGAGUGAAAACAGAUGAUGAAAAACGCAAGGAAAAAAAGGGAAACAGUUUCGAAGGAAAAAGGGAGAAUAAGAGAAAAAGGAAGAAAAUGAAAGUAAAAAAGCCGUAAAUCAAAGUUAUCAUCUGUAUUAUUUACUGAGGAAAAACAAAACUCUGUAUAUUCUGUUACCUAUCUCUCUCUCUCUUUUUAUCCCAGUUUUUUCCGAAAGAUUAAACACACAAAAGGAAGUGUUCAUGUGCUCUUCAACACACAAGGGACUUUCUCUCUCUGUAUCAUGAUCAUCUAAAGGUAGGGUCAAAAAUGGACCCUUGAAUGAAAUUGUGAGUAAAAAUAUGAAAGGCUGAUGGUUUUCAAGCCUUCAGAGGGUUGCAAUGUCAAGAUAUGAAGAGGCAAGUUGGCAAGAGGCAAAGUCAGAGCAAUAAAGUGCAAGAAGUCAGGAAAGAAGGAGAAGAAACAUGGCAGAAGAUGAAGAAGCAAACAGGAGAUAGUGAUGAAGAUGGAGCUGACAAAAUGGUGUUUGAAAAUGAAACAAGUCAACAAAGCUUAAAGAAGGAAGGAGAAGGAAGAAAAGUUUCACUUUUAUUCAUCAUGAUGUGAUGAAGAUGAGUUUUGACAGAAAAAUAAUUUUGAUAAAAAGUCAAGUUUACCACACGAGUGAGCAUUUGGUGUGGCACCCGACUCAAGCCCUGGCAAGGAACAACAACAAAAAAAGAGAAACUCUGCACACUGUUUGUACAUUUAGAUAAUGAUGAAAGUUCAAGAGGAUGUAAAGCGUCAAUAAUAUCGAGCACAAUGUGAACUGCAAGGGAAAGACAAGCCAAUAUUGAUGUAUUAAAAAUAAAUAAUAAAUCGAGGAAAAAGAAACAAGCAAUGGAAAAAGAUGGCAAGCAAAUCCCAAAAUAAGGAAGCAAAGAAAUAUGAUAAGCAAAUGAAAAUAAUAGUUUCUGGAGUAGAAGCAAAAAACAAAUCAAAUCAAUUUGAUUGUUUCAUAUUAGCUGAUGCAUUUUUUUGCUCCCCAUCAAAAUUACCUUCUUUAAUCUUACCUUUUCAAAUGCAAUCAUCAUCAUCAUCAUCAUUUCAUGUCUUCUUUUUGUUCUCCUUAAACAUUCUACAGUCUUUUUUUUCUCUUGCUUCUACUUUCUUGUAAUUUAUUUAUUUCCACCAAUAAUGGCAAAUCAUACGAUUUACAAUUUAUUAGAUUGAAGCAAAUUGUUACAAAUAUUGGCCAAAGAGAAACAAAAGCGAAAGCAGUUCAACUUUAGAUAAGUUGAACUUUAAUUUGAUCAUUUA